rnacentral:tRNA from 1 species
UGGGUUGUAGCCAAGCGGCAAGGCAACAGGUUUUGAUCCUGUCGUGCGAAGGUUCGAAUCCUUCCAACCUAACCA